rnacentral:rRNA from 1 species
GACGGAGGCUGCAAGCGUUAUCCGGAAUUAUUGGGCGUAAAGCGUCCGCAGGUGGCUGUUCAAGUCUGCUGUCAAAGCGCAGAGCUUAACUCUGUACAGGCGGUGGAAACUGAAGAGCUAGAGUAUGGUAGGGGUAGAGGGAAUUCCCGGUGUAGCGGUGAAAUGCGUAGAUAUCGGGAAGAACACCAGUGGCGAAAGCGCUCUACUGGGCCAUAACUGACACUGAGGGACGAAAGCUAGGGGAGCGAAAGGG